rnacentral:rRNA from 1 species
UACGUAGGGCGCAAGCGUUGUCCGGAAUUAUUGGGCGUAAAGAGCUCGUAGGCGGUCUGUCGCGUCUGCUGUGAAAAACCUAGGGCUUAACUCUGGGCGUGCAGUGGGGUACGGGCAGGCUAGAGUGCGGUAGGGGGAGACUGGAAUUCCUGGUGUAGCGGUGAAAAUGCGCAGAUAUCAGGAGGAACACCGGUGGCGAAAGGCGGGGUCUCUGGGGCCGUAACUGACGCUGAGGAGCGAAAAGCAUGGGGAGCGAACAGG